rnacentral:tRNA from 1 species
GCCGGCUUAGCUCAAUCGGUAGAGCAGCUGACUUGUAAUCAGCAGGUUGAGGGUUCAAUUCCUUUAGCCGGCU